rnacentral:rRNA from 1 species
CCCUUAGAUGUUCUGGGCGGCCCGCGCACUACAAUGGCGCUUUCAGCGAGUUCCUAUGUUGAAUUUUCCUUGGUAUUCUUGGAAGCGGCGUCUGGACUUGGGAUAGAUCCUUGUAAUUGUUGGUUUUGAACGAGGAAUUCCUUGUAAUCGCGGUUGAUCAGCUCGCGUUGAAUACGUCCCUGCCCUUUGUACACACCGCCCGUCGCUCCUACCGAUGAAUCGUCCGGUGAAGUUCACAGAGUGGCGGUUCGUGGAGUUGCUCGCGAAGUGAAAUGGACCUCACGAUUUAGAGGAAGGAGAAGUCGUAACA